UUAGGUACUUAAGAUAUAUAUAUAAACCAUAAACAUUUGAAAACACGCUUCAGUAGGUGGCAUUUUCAAACGUAUAUCUCUAUUUAGGCUCUGUCUAGCUUUGUCAACAGCUGAAUCUCCAAGAAGACGCCCGUGGUCUCUGGAUGUGGUAUACUGGUACUUGUAAUUAAUUUACCAUUUAGAAGGAGAACUCUUUCAGCAAGAGAAGCCAUCUUCACACACAGGUAUAUAUGCAUUAUGAGAACCAAUACUUAACGGGAAGACGAGAUCGAAUCUGCAAUCUGGAGCUGCAAGGGAGAUAAAAGCCUUGGACCUGAUGGCUACAAUUUUGCUUUCAUCAAGAAAUUUUGGGAUUGUUUCAAGGAUGAUUUAUUCAAGAUGGUUGAUGACUAUAUGAAUGGUAAAAUUCUCCGGGGGAUGCAAUGCAUCCUUUGUUGUUCUAAUCCCUAAGAGUUAUUGUC